rnacentral:rRNA from 1 species
AGUAAUGUAUGGGGAUCUGCCCGAUAGAGGGGGAUAACUACUGGAAACGGUGGCUAAUACCGCAUAAUGUCUACGGACCAAAGCAGGGGCUCUUCGGACCUUGCACUAUCGGAUGAACCCAUAUGGGAUUAACUAGUAGGUGGGGUAAAGGCUCACCUAGGCGACGAUCUCUAGCUGGUCUGAGAGGAUGAUCAGCCACACUGGGACUGAGACACGGCCCAG